GAAACCUUGCAGACUUUAUUAUUAUUAACAAACUGUCCAAUUUUCAUCUGUACAGAACAACAAAGAGAAACCAAAAAAAAAAAGACAAAAGAAAAUAAAAGUGGACAGGGAGAAAUAAACCAGAAGCUCCAUGGAUUCAGACACAAAACAUUGUUUUACAAAAAAAGAUCCGUUUCAUUUCAGCGACAAACUUAAAAGUCAAACGUUCGAGUCGUCAUCACUCUGGACCACGAAAAACAGCGAGGAACCGACCCGAGAUCGCAAGGUCUGUAAUCUGUGGGCAACACACACACGCACACACACACACACACAUCAUUCAUCACACACAUCACACACACACACACACACACACACACACACACUUGCCCACAUGCUCCUCUGCUGGGUGCUGCAGGGGAUUCUGGGAUGUUCUGUACAGUGGGGAUCCCUCGGUGGGACGGUGAGUAGGCACGCUUUGAUAAAACCCAACGUCAAGAUGGAAAAAAAAAAACAAAAGAAAAAAAAACAAAAGAGAGAGAAGGCAGUUCAACGAAUCAGAACGUCUCAUUUACAAGCAGGGAGGGCAGCGUCACCACACCAAGCUUCAACAAUUAGACAAAAAAAAAUCAAAAUCAAAUAAAACAAACAGUAAAGGCUAACUGCACGGUAACGUAGUUUACAGUAUGUAGUCACUCAGUAUAGUACACAUGUACACAUGAUCGGCUCGAGCUGGGAGAGGAGAGCUGCUCGCUUUCACGUCUUAUGACCUUUUUUUUUUUUUUUUCUCAAAGCAGGAUUUUAAAGUCUUCGCACCGAGACCAAAAAGCUCGACGACGCUAACUAUCUGACGUACGACUAAAACCACAAACAAAAACCACAAUCGCCUUCUUCUUCUACUUCCGGCAUUAACCUGCAAGGCUGAGCUCGAUCCAGAUUCAUUCAGCAACAGUUUCUUUAACACUUCUCAAUUGCGUAAAAUCUGAUAAUUGUGCGAUCGAGGACGAGUUUGAAUGCAGAAGUUGUGUUUUCAGUCUGGAACCUGAGUGUGAAGAUGAAGAGGACCACUUGAACUUCAACUAUUUUCCUUUUGCGUGACAACUGAUAUUUGAUUUUUUUUUUUUUAAAAGCAUCCUGUGUGACAUUAAACUCUCAGUAUGCUUCAAACAAAGCUGCUCAUUAGAUUUGCUGACAGCGUCGGAGGAAAAGAGGAGUUUCUGUACAAAAGUAGCAGAAUCGUGUAUUUACGCAACAGCAGUUUUUAGACGCUAUCAGCAGGUACGAAGCGACUCCUAAACAACCAAUCGCACCGACAUUACGCCAUUAGCCGGUACAAAGUAGUCCCCAAACAGACAAUCACUUAAGACUUUACAGAAAGGUGGUUUGUGACACUUCAGUACAAGAAACCAGAUCAUUAUUUAGCUUUCCAGAAAUGUUUCAGACGUGUUAAGGAAAGGUGGUUUCAGUAUAAAGGGGUUUACAAACAGCCAAUCACACUGACAUUACACCAAAAGAGGCUUCCUACGUCGUUAGCCGGUACAAAGCAGUCCUGAAACCAACAAUCAAUCUGACUUCACACAAAAGGUGAUUUCUGAUGCUUUUAGGGCGGUUCAAGAAAACCAGAUCGUCAAUUUGGCUUUUCGGAAAGGUUUGAGAGACAUUAAGAAAAGAUGGUCUCGGACGUGUUCGGGAAAGGUGGUUUCAGUAAACUUUACAAAAAGGUGGUUUUAGACGCUUUUACAGAAAACCAGACCGUCACUUCAGCUUUUUGGAAAGGUUCGGACACGUUAAGGAAAGAUGGUUAAAGACACGCUCUAAGGAAAGGUGGUUUCGGAGACUUUGUCUGUAAAGGUAGAAAAGCUACAGACAGGUGGUUCCAAACGUGGUUUAAGGAAAGGUGGUUUCAGUAAACUUUACAAAAAGGUGGUUUCAGACGCUUUUACAGGGCGGUUCAAGAAAACCAGACCGUCACUUCAGCUUUUUGGAAAGGUUCGGACACGUUAAGGAAAGAUGGUUAAAGACACACUCUCAAGAUGGUUUCGGAGACUUUUUCUGUAAAAGGUAGAAAAGUUAUGGA